UACGUAACUGUGUUUGGAUUAUUGUUAGUUAUUUGCAUGCUUGUUUGUUAUCAGGGGAAGUCCCUGUCUUAUCUCCAUACCCACCUCUGUUCAAUAAGUAUUUGUAGAAGUCUAUUAUCUGAUUAGAUUAAGAGAAGAGGCAGAGCUGUCUGGAAGCAAUGAGCAACUAAAACUAGAUGGGGAAGUACAAGUUGAUAAUAAGGUGAGGAAUAUUUUGGCUGUAGCUCAAAGAGGCCCAGACUGAGGAAAUAAACCUGUAAUUUCAGCACUUCUGUCCAGAGCAGUCCAGGCUUCCUUCUUCAGGACUGGAUCAGAGAGAAACUGCUGGCCGAUGCUAUGGCUCUUACUCAGAUCUAAGGGCAGCAUGUUGCCUAAACUAGUAAAUUAUUUUAUUGGACUAAAUUGAAGUGUGUUUCAGUCCUUAAGAAUGGAGACCUCAAACAUGCUACGUGGCGGCUUCAAUGAUCCAUCCUAAAGAGGUGCCCCCUGAGGCCAUCUUGCUGGCAGUCUACCUUGAACUGCAGAAUGGU
rnacentral:misc_RNA from 1 species